GGGUUGUGAGGUUAAGCGACUAAGCGUACACGGUGGAUGCCCUGGCAGUCAGAGGCGAUGAAGGACGUGCUAAUCUGCGAUAAGCGUCGGUAAGGUGAUAUGAACCGUUAUAACCGGCGAUUUCCGAAUGGGGAAACCCAGUGUGAUUCGUCACACUAUCAUUAACUGAAUCCAUAGGUUAAUGAGGCGAACCGGGGGAACUGAAACAUCUAAGUACCCCGAGGAAAAGAAAUCAACCGAGAUUCCCCCAGUAGCGGCGAGCGAACGGGGAGCAGCCCAGAGCCUGAAUCAGUGUGUGUGUUAGUGGAAGCGUCUGGAAAGGCGCGCGAUACAGGGUGACAGCCCCGUACACAAAAAUGCACAUGCUGUGAGCUCGAUGAGUAGGGCGGGACACGUGGUAUCCUGUCUGAAUAUGGGGGGACCAUCCUCCAAGGCUAAAUACUCCUGACUGACCGAUAGUGAACCAGUACCGUGAGGGAAAGGCGAAAAGAACCCCGGCGAGGGGAGUGAAAAAGAACCUGAAACCGUGUACGUACAAGCAGUGGGAGCACGCUUAGGCGUGUGACUGCGUACCUUUUGUAUAAUGGGUCAGCGACUUAUAUUCUGUAGCAAGGUUAACCGAAUAGGGGAGCCGAAGGGAAACCGAGUCUUAACUGGGCGUUAAGUUGCAGGGUAUAGACCCGAAACCCGGUGAUCUAGCCAUGGGCAGGUUGAAGGUUGGGUAACACUAACUGGAGGACCGAACCGACUAAUGUUGAAAAAUUAGCGGAUGACUUGUGGCUGGGGGUGAAAGGCCAAUCAAACCGGGAGAUAGCUGGUUCUCCCCGAAAGCUAUUUAGGUAGCGCCUCGUGAAUUCAUCUCCGGGGGUAGAGCACUGUUUCGGCAAGGGGGUCAUCCCGACUUACCAACCCGAUGCAAACUGCGAAUACCGGAGAAUGUUAUCACGGGAGACACACGGCGGGUGCUAACGUCCGUCGUGAAGAGGGAAACAACCCAGACCGCCAGCUAAGGUCCCAAAGUCAUGGUUAAGUGGGAAACGAUGUGGGAAGGCCCAGACAGCCAGGAUGUUGGCUUAGAAGCAGCCAUCAUUUAAAGAAAGCGUAAUAGCUCACUGGUCGAGUCGGCCUGCGCGGAAGAUGUAACGGGGCUAAACCAUGCACCGAAGCUGCGGCAGCGACACUAUGUGUUGUUGGGUAGGGGAGCGUUCUGUAAGCCUGUGAAGGUGUACUGUGAGGUAUGCUGGAGGUAUCAGAAGUGCGAAUGCUGACAUAAGUAACGAUAAAGCGGGUGAAAAGCCCGCUCGCCGGAAGACCAAGGGUUCCUGUCCAACGUUAAUCGGGGCAGGGUGAGUCGACCCCUAAGGCGAGGCCGAAAGGCGUAGUCGAUGGGAAACAGGUUAAUAUUCCUGUACUUGGUGUUACUGCGAAGGGGGGACGGAGAAGGCUAUGUUGGCCGGGCGACGGUUGUCCCGGUUUAAGCGUGUAGGCUGGUUUUCCAGGCAAAUCCGGAAAAUCAAGGCUGAGGCGUGAUGACGAGGCACUACGGUGCUGAAGCAACAAAUGCCCUGCUUCCAGGAAAAGCCUCUAAGCAUCAGGUAACAUCAAAUCGUACCCCAAACCGACACAGGUGGUCAGGUAGAGAAUACCAAGGCGCUUGAGAGAACUCGGGUGAAGGAACUAGGCAAAAUGGUGCCGUAACUUCGGGAGAAGGCACGCUGAUAUGUAGGUGAAGCGACUUGCUCGUGGAGCUGAAAUCAGUCGAAGAUACCAGCUGGCUGCAACUGUUUAUUAAAAACACAGCACUGUGCAAACACGAAAGUGGACGUAUACGGUGUGACGCCUGCCCGGUGCCGGAAGGUUAAUUGAUGGGGUCAGCGCAAGCGAAGCUCUUGAUCGAAGCCCCGGUAAACGGCGGCCGUAACUAUAACGGUCCUAAGGUAGCGAAAUUCCUUGUCGGGUAAGUUCCGACCUGCACGAAUGGCGUAAUGAUGGCCAGGCUGUCUCCACCCGAGACUCAGUGAAAUUGAACUCGCUGUGAAGAUGCAGUGUACCCGCGGCAAGACGGAAAGACCCCGUGAACCUUUACUAUAGCUUGACACUGAACAUUGAGCCUUGAUGUGUAGGAUAGGUGGGAGGCUUUGAAGUGUGGACGCCAGUCUGCAUGGAGCCGACCUUGAAAUACCACCCUUUAAUGUUUGAUGUUCUAACGUUGACCCGUGAUCCGGGUUGCGGACAGUGUCUGGUGGGUAGUUUGACUGGGGCGGUCUCCUCCUAAAGAGUAACGGAGGAGCACGAAGGUUGGCUAAUCCUGGUCGGACAUCAGGAGGUUAGUGCAAUGGCAUAAGCCAGCUUGACUGCGAGCGUGACGGCGCGAGCAGGUGCGAAAGCAGGUCAUAGUGAUCCGGUGGUUCUGAAUGGAAGGGCCAUCGCUCAACGGAUAAAAGGUACUCCGGGGAUAACAGGCUGAUACCGCCCAAGAGUUCAUAUCGACGGCGGUGUUUGGCACCUCGAUGUCGGCUCAUCACAUCCUGGGGCUGAAGUAGGUCCCAAGGGUAUGGCUGUUCGCCAUUUAAAGUGGUACGCGAGCUGGGUUUAGAACGUCGUGAGACAGUUCGGUCCCUAUCUGCCGUGGGCGCUGGAGAACUGAGGGGGGCUGCUCCUAGUACGAGAGGACCGGAGUGGACGCAUCACUGGUGUUCGGGUUGUCAUGCCAAUGGCACUGCCCGGUAGCUAAAUGCGGAAGAGAUAAGUGCUGAAAGCAUCUAAGCACGAAACUUGCCCCGAGAUGAGUUCUCCCUGACUCCUUGAGAGUCCUGAAGGAACGUUGAAGACGACGACGUUGAUAGGCCGGGUGUGUAAGCGCAGCGAUGCGUUGAGCUAACCGGUACUAAUGAACCGUGAGGCUUAACCUUACAACGCCGAAGCUGUU
rnacentral:rRNA from 1 species